GACGAACGCUGGCGGCGUGCUUAACACAUGCAAGUCGAACGGAAAGGCCCUGCUUUUGUGGGGUGCUCGAGUGGCGAACAGGUGAGUAACACGUGGGUAACCUGCCCUUGACUUUGGGAUAACUUCAUGAAACUGGGGUUAAUACCGGACAGGAGCUCCUGCUGCAUGGGGGGGGUGGGAAAGUUUCGGCGGUUGGGGAUGGACUCGUGGUCUAUCAGCUUGUUGGUGGGGUAGUGGCUUACCAAGGCUUUGACGGGUAGCCGGACUGAGAGGGUGACCGGCCACAUUGGGACUGGGGUAGGGCCCAGACUCAUACGGGAGGAAGCAGUGGGGAAUAUUGCAAAAUGGGCGGCGGCCGGGUGCAGCGACGUCGCGUGCUGGAUGACGGCCUUCGGGUUGUAAACCGCGUUCGCCUGUGACGAAGCGUGAGUGACGGUAAUGGGUAAAGAAGAAACGGCUAACUACGUG
rnacentral:rRNA from 1 species